GCAAACUUGGUCAUUUAGAGGAAGUAAAAGUCGUAACAAGGUUUCCGUAGGUGAACCUGCGGAAGGAUCAUUACAAGUGAAACCGUGCCUACCCGGCCGGAUUCUCAAACCAUUGUGAACAAAACUCUCCGUUGCCUCGGCGGGCUGGGCUGCUCCAGCUUUCGCGCUCGGCCGCCCCCUCCUCGCGGGGGAGCCGCCCGCCGCAGGACAUUUCAAAACCAAUUCGUUGACGAACGUCUGAUUUACUAUUUUUAAUUAAAUACAACUUUCAACAAUGGAUCUCUUGGCUCCGGCAUCGAUGAAGAACGCAGC
rnacentral:misc_RNA from 1 species